UAGUCCACGCCCUAAACGAUGGAUACUAGUCGUUGGAGUUUCUAAUUGCUUCAGUGACGUAGCUAACGCGUUAAGUAUCCCGCCUGGGGACUACGGUCGCAAGAUUAAAACUCAAAGGAAUUGACGGGGGCCCGCACAAGCGGUGGAGCAUGUGGUUUAAUUCGAUGCUACGCGAAAAACCUUACCUAGGCUUGACAUCCCGGGCUACCCUGUGAAAGCAGGGGUUCUCUUCGGAGACCCGGUGACAGGUGCUGCAUGGCUGUCGUCAGCUCGUGUUGUGAGAUGUUGGGUUAAGUCCCGCAACGAGCGCAACCCUCGUCGCUAGUUACCAUCAUUAAGUUGGGCACUCUAGCGAGACCGCUUGGCAAUAAGCCAGAGGAAGGUGGGGAUGACGUCAAGUCCGCAUGGGCCCUUAUGCCUAGGGGCUACACACGUGCUACAAUGGGGAGGCACAAAGCGUUGCUAACUCGCGAGAGUAUGCCAAUCGCAAAAA
rnacentral:rRNA from 1 species